CCCACGCUCCAUUCGUUCCUCACCAACGAAAUCCCUAGAUCUCUCCUCUUGUUGCUCCCCACGCACGCCGGCGCCCACGCCUCCGACCGCCGCCCCGCCCCGCCUCGCCCGGGGCUACUGUCGGUCUAUCCCACCGCUGCCCCACGCCGCCCUGCCUCUAUAGCACCGCCCCGCGCCGCCCUGUCCCUAUAGCGCAGCCCAACUCCGUCCUGCCUCUCUCCGUCGCCGGCUCCACACCCUCGUGCUCUCUGUCCGGUUGGCCGCCUCUUUCCAACAUCCCUGACCUGACCUCCCCAUCUCCACCGUCUAGCUCACGAAGACACACGCAUCGGCAGAUUUGGAUGGGAGCAGCUUGCGCCUGGGCAAGGGCAUCCCUCUCUGUCUUCGGCUGGGCAGGGGCAACGAAGCGGCUGAGUGAAUCUUCUUUGCAGCACCAAUGGAUGAGUUUCUAGUGUUUGUGCUGCUCCAGCUAAGCACAUUUCUGGGCUGAGUUGACGACAAUGUUAAACAGAGGACAACUGUUUGUAACAUUGAGCCGACGAAGAGAAGUAGCAGAAUAUAUGCGACACCACCUUAGUGCAUAAGGAGGAAAAAAGGCAAGCGCAAGAGUCACAAACAAUAUAUAGAUCUUCUCGUGAGGUUGUUGUCAAUGUUGUGAUCACAAAGGAUGCAACGCUGCCUUAUGAAUAUGAUGGUUUACAAUUUGUCGCCGAUGCUGUCACAAGGUCCAUUGCAUGACCAUCUAGCAAGAUGAAACCCUACAAGCCAGGGGCAUCUGCCUCCGUGUUAAUCUUGCCUGAGAUCUCUGAUGGUGGUGGAAAGACAACAUUUGUUUAUUUCAUUAUCGAUAAGAAAACGUGAGAACAUAUCUUUUCUUCAUCAUCAUUGUCAAAAGGCCGCUAGUACUUAGCUUCCUGUAGUUAUAACUAGACGAGUGUAGCAGUCAACAUAGCUACAACUACAACAUUUGUUUAUGUUCCCUAUUAUGCAGCUUGACAUGAAUUAUUUUCAGUUUCACAGCAUAACAUAAAUCGUCAGUGCACAACAUUUUUUUAACCCUGUGAUAUAAAUCAUGUGAAGAUAGUCGUGAAAUGGUUCAAUCAUCCAAUUAUUUCUCAAAACUUGGGGUCGCGUCUCCUGGUCGACUUUGGUUAUUCUUAGUUUGACACUUUCGUAAGGAUCCCAAGUUUACAGGUCUGCAAAUCAAACUUAUUCACCUCAAAUUUAGCUGGUUGUAUAUUAAUUCAGUUUCUCUGUUUCAUGCCUGAUGCUCUUUACUCUAAAGUUGAACAGGUAGUACAGUAGUACUCACUGAAAAGGAAAUUUCAUCCGCUUGCAUGUAUAUUAAUUGUACGGUUUUUUGUCUUUCCAUGUUGCUGUCAGGUUGUGCACGGAAGACAAGAGGAACAAGAAGAAACCAUGAAGCUGUCAGUUUGCGUCAACUAGAUAUCUUUUGUAAUGGAGCAAAACCAAUGCAUCUUGUAGCUACCAUUUUGUAAAGGAUAUCUUGUAAGGUAGCAAGCAUUGAAUCGUCAGACAUGCAUCUAUCAUUUUAUAAACCUAUCGUGUGUUUCGGUCACCCAGACAAAUGUUUCCUCUUAUUUUGUUACCUCUAUUAUGAGAAUUAUAAGUGUUA